GGCGUGAGGGUCCCCGCACCCCUGCCCUCUGCCCCGGCCCCAACUCACCGCUGGCCCGCUCCGGCGCGGAGGGCAGCGCGCGCGCCCCGGGUCCAAGCCCGCACCGGCCCUCGAGCAAACUUUCCACCUCGCGCGGGACCCCACAACUCGGGAGCCCAGGGCCCCGGCGGGCGCGAGGAGCGUGAGUGGGCCCCGGGCGGACACCUACCCGCGGCCUGGCAGGGUCAGGGCCCGAGCCCCCGGGGUGGGCGGCAGCUUCCCAAAGGUCCGCAGAGGAGAGGCAGGUAGAGUUGCAUGACUGGGGCGGGGCAGGGGGUUGUCCCAGGGGGCAGACCCGGGAGCGGAGGGCCCGGCGGCUGCGCGCACAAAGCGGUGCGGGCGCGGAUCGCGCUGCCACUCCCCGCCAGGUCAGCCCCCCGGAGCAGUAGUGUCUCCCCAGGACAGACCUCAGGGAGUGAAGCAGGGGCUCUCUCUGCCUUUGCUGGACCCUGCACCACUGAGCUAGAGUCAAAACGCGCGCUGGAUUUACCCAAACUGGAGCUGGACUCCCCUCUCGACCCUUACCCCUCCCGUUCACCCUCCUGUCUCAUAACACUUUUUUUUUUUUUUUUUAAGGUCAAAGAAUAUCGGACAGGAAAAGAAGUGUCAAGGUCAAAACUUCGGCUGGAGAGAAAGACUCAUUCCCAUCAUUACCUUGAACACGGUAAUUUUUAUUGUUUUGCACAUAAUUUUUAUUGUUUUGUGUACUUGUUUAAUAAGCAUGACCAGAUUGUUGUGUUUUUUUAAAUAUUUUAUUUGUGUAUUCAUGAAGACAGAGAGAAGCAGAGGGAGAAGCAGGCUCCCUGUGGGGAGACUGAUGCGGGACUCCAUCCUAGGACCUCUGGAUCAUGACCUGAGCCAAAAGCAGAUAGAUGCUUAACCACUGAACCACCCAUAUGCCCCACCAGAUUGUUUUUGAGACAGAUUCCUAAAUUUUCAACCUUUCUCACUGAUUGAUUCAUUCAAAUUUAUUCCUGAGCUAGGGUAUAGAUAGAUACACAGAGAUGAAUAAAAUUCGCCUCUUAAAUAGCAGAAACACAAAUCCUGGUUUGGCAAACAGAAUAAACUAAUGACUGCACUACAGUGUUUUCAGUGCUACAGUCAUAUAAAUACCUUAGUUGGAGAAAGUAAAAAAAUGUGGCAUUUGAGAUAAAUCUUAUCUACAAUAAUGGACUUUUCUCAAUGUUUCCAAAGCCUAAUUAUUAAUACCUUUUCAGAAACAAUGUCCUAGGACCUAGGUGAAAAGAACGUUGGGAGAGUUUGACUCAUAACAUGAGCUCCAUAAAAAAAAAAAAAAAAAAAAAAAAAAAAAAAAAAAAAAAAAAAAAAGAGGCACCUGGGUAGCUCAGUGGUUGAGCAUCUGCCUUUGGCUGAGGGUCCUGGGAUUUGGCUCAGAGUCCUGGGAUUGAGUCCACAUCGGCUACCUGCCUGGAGCCUGCUUCUCCCUCUGCCUGUGUCUCUGCCUCUCUCUCUCUCAUGAAUAAAUAAAUAAAAUCUUUAAAAAAAAAAAAAGUAUCUGCCUUAGGCUCAGGUCAUAAUCCCAGAGUCCUAGGAUUGAGCCCCACAUCAGGGGAGCCCCAUAUCAGGCCCCUGGCUCAGCAGGGAGUCUGAUUCUCUCUCUACCUCUCACCCCACUUGUGCUCUCUCCCUUGCUC
rnacentral:lncRNA from 1 species